UUACGACCACAUCACGAUGAAACAUUGGAUCCCGUACUAUCAUCGAAGUUAAGCAACGUCGAGCCUGGUCAAUACCUCGAUAGGUGACCGCUUGGGAGUACCAGGUGUUGUAAG